UACGGAGGGUGCAAGCGUUAUCCGGAUUCACUGGGUUUAAAGGGUGCGUAGGUGGGUUGAUAAGUCAGUGGUGAAAUCCCCGAGCUUAACUUGGAAACUGCCGUUGAUACUAUCUGUCUUGAAUAUUGUGGAGGUGAGCGGAAUAUGUCAUGUAGCGGUGAAAUGCUUAGAUAUGACAUAGAACACCAAUUGCGAAGGCAGCUCACUACUCAAUCAUUGACUCUGAGGCACGAAAGCGUGGGGAUCAAACAGG
rnacentral:rRNA from 1 species